UCCAUAUUGUAUUUUAAUCUUUUUUAAAUCCAUCAGAUGGAUUAUCCAGGCUCAGGUUUUACUAAAUUAAAAUAUACUGAUGAUGUCUCCUACUAAUUCAGAGGGGUCAAUCCCAUCUUGACUCAUGCACCGACUUGACAAGUACUUGACUGUACCCAAAUAUCUUUCAUUAUUAAAUUAAAAACUUAAUUAGUUUGACACUAAAGUAUAGUGAGUUGCUUAUAAGCCACCGUGGUGAUCUCA
rnacentral:lncRNA from 1 species